rnacentral:lncRNA from 1 species
UGGUAGAUAUUCAACCUAGACCUCAGAAGAGGAAGGGCCAAUACACACUAACUCAUUAACAUAAGAUGGAAAGCAUUGUCAAAGCUAGCUUGAGUGGAGAAAAGUUAUCUCCUCAUAUAUUACCAGUCUCCUUCCAAAAGCUACCCUAGGCAUUUGUGCUGUUAUUGAUGGGACAUUUAUCUAUCCCAGCCCAGGGAAAACUAAGGGGCUGUUGAAAGGUCUCAAUGGAAGUUAAGAGGGUCACUGAGAAAGAUCGUUGAGAGUAGGGAGUUUAUUAGAAGAAUUUCUAGUCCCACCCACAGACAGACAGACAGACAGACAAUGGCAUGGCUGGGGACUCAAAAGAAAGUUCACUUCCCAACCCCAGAGAUAGACAGGGUGGCAGGGGACUCUGAACAGACAAAAUCAGAGUGACCCACCAGGCAGAAGUGAGAGUCACGUGUACCAUUAUGAGAACGAGAGCAAUUUCACAGCAGCACAAUCCUACAGCUAGGCUCUCCGAUUCUCAGGAAUGUGGCAGGGAAAGGGUUGGGUAAGGGCAUGUGACUACCAGUACUGCCUUUGAUAGAAAUUCACUUACCCAGGUGACACCUGGAAGACUGUUGGCUAGGGACUCACAGGUGAUGUCCCUGCCGGAAAAGAGCUGCUGUUGCUGCUGUGGCAUGAGCUGCAGCUGAAUUCUAGCAUUACGACUACAGCUGUGGAGUGACAGGAGUAUAUUCCUGUCUGCUUCCUGGCAGGAGUCAAGUGAGUCGAAAGGCCGACACUUAUGCCCUUUCUUUUGACUAACAGAGAAUGGAAACAAUAGUCUUCCAAAUAGCAAGCAGAGGAGGAGCUUAUCUUUUGAGAAGAAAUUUCUCACUCUUCUGAUGGCUUAUCAAUACACAUUGUUGGAGAAACUAAAAUAAUAAUGGGCAAGAGACUAGAUCUUGACCAGGAUUUCUUAGCUGGACAUGUCUCUGACAUGACAGAUAGAUAGAUAGAUAGAUAGAUAGAUAGAUAGAUAGAUAGAUAGAUAGAUAGAUAGAUAGAUAGAUAGUUGUUAUCUGUGUGCUUGUAUGUGUGUAAGUGCAGGUGUGUGUGUGUGUGUAUGCUAUAUUCUGUGUAUGGAGACAGAUGACAGCUAUGGAGAUCAAUACUUCCUUUCCAUACUGUCUCAGACAAAGUCUAUGGUUUGCUACUGUGUAUGCAAAGCCAAGUAGCUCCCAAGCUUCUGGGAUUCAGUCUCUACGCUCAUCUCCUCGAAGGAGCAUUAGAGUUACAGAUGUGUGCUCCUGCAUCGAACUUUUAUGCAAGUUUUAGGGAUCUGAACUCUUGCCUGCUGAGAGUUUCAUCCACUAACCCAUCUCUCUAGCCCCCUUGCAAUGUGUUUAAAUCAAAUUUCAUAUUGGGGCAGUGAAGACAGACUGGGGAUCACCAGACCUCUGUUUUCUUUUCUCCAGUGUGGCCAAGUUGAAUGACCCUCCUCUCUCUGCGUUUGGUUGUAACUUGUUUUCUUAAUUUGUGUAUCACGUAGGGAAAGGUGGGUGAGCCUAGCUUCUUAGGCUGGCAGAGCCCAGUAUCUGGCCCUGACAACUCUGAUAACAGUAUUAUGGUGCUCUUCCCAGGGUUGAGAAAUGCUCCCUCUGAGCCUAACUUCUGUGACUAUUUGGGUAUCAAUCUUCUACUGCCCAUACGAUGGAAAUGAAGUUUCUUCGAGAGCUGGAACCCAUAACAAAUGACUAUUUUACAAAAGCUGUUUUUUGUAGGGUUAGAUUUUUCCUUCCAUCACCUGAAUGGUAGUGUCUAGGUCAUUGCAUACUCAGUGAUGGCUACUAAUAAGCAAUGAGACUUUAGGUGACAUGGGCUGUCCAUUGCAUGCUCUAGUCCCUGUGUCUGUGCAUUUGCCUAGCCCCUUCCUCCCACUGCAGUAUAUUUUUAGUAUCCCAUUUGCUACACAAAGUCUCUCUGAGACUCCUUUACUUACCCAAGGCCACACAGCAGAAAGCGCCUGCGUAUGGUUCUGUAUAGUCAGCACAGCGCUUUUCUCAUUAAGUUGUCUGGGAGCGAAACUGAAAUUUUCAUGAAACUGGCUGAAGAUAUCAUAAGAAAUCUCCCAGGAGUUCUUUGGCCUGAAACCUGCAUACUGUCGUGUUAACUCCUGGGUUCACAUCCCUGGUCAGUCAGUCAGUUACAUUGGUCAGGCCAAUCACAGCUCUGUGCUUGACUUUCCUGCUCUCC